rnacentral:lncRNA from 1 species
UUAUCUUUGUGCUAUGACGGGACUCCACUGGAGAACAUCAAUCAGAUCAGGGUGGGCCGGUCUCAUCUCACAAUAGGACAUCUCUAUUCUAUAGAGUUUCCCUGCCAAGAAAACUCAUUGGACGCUUUGGUUCUGGCAAUAAUUCCUGAUCUAAUCAGUUCUGACUGGGAUGGCAGUGUGACAUGGUACAGAGCACUGUUUCCUCAGAGUAAGGAAACUCUGGACUGUGGUUCACUUUGCUUCGAGAGCUCUUUCCCAGAGACACACGGCUCUCCCCCUCACUUCCUUCAUGUCUUUGCUCAAAUAUUCUUUUUUCAGGAAGCUCUUCCCUGACCACCCUGUUUAAAAUUUAGCUCCCCACCUUUCUAACACUAGCCUGUGCCCAGGAAGUCACUCUCUUUCCUUCCUUCUUCUACUUCAUUUUUCUUCUGAAUUUCUAUGAACAUUGGGUAAAGUAUAUAGUCUUCUCAUUUACUUUGUAUAAUGUCUGUUUCCCUCCAUUAGAAUAUAAACUCCGCAAGUACAGGGAUAUUUUCUUUUCCUAUACUGGCUCUUUUUCUACUAUUGGGUACCCAGAGCCUAGGAUAGUGCCUGACAUAUGGUAGCCAUCCAAGAAAAACUUAACGACUAAAAGUGAUUUCACUGACAAGGUGCUGUAGCAAAAUUAAAGAUGAUGCUAACAUUGUAAAAUAUUGACUACCACUCCAGUAUGGUGUAGCAAACCUACAGAUCAACUAGUCCAAAUAAGAGGGGGAGGAAGAAGUCCACAAAAGAAAAUUUCCAGAAAACAAAACUCAGAGCAAUAUCUGAUUAAAUAUAAAAUUUUUGGGGUGGAAAGAAAUUGAAUGUAUGAUAAAGAUAGUGCAAAAAAUAAAAGCAAAGAAUUAGAAACUUUGGGGAAGAUUAUAAAGGAAAAGAGGCAUAAUCAAAAUAUAUUAGUAGGUAUUGCAAAGCAAAAUAAUUCUAUAGAUGGUGGUGGAAAGACAGCAAGAUGGCUCACAAUUAUUCUUGUCUCCUAGUACUCAUGGUUUUGUGUCAUCUCCUUCCCUUGAGGCAAGAACUGUGAUUUGCUUCUAACCAAUAAAAAAUGGCAAAAGUAACAGGAUGCUAUUUCCAUGGUUAUAUCACAUAAGAUUGUAAUGUCUGUCUUGUCAGCUGACUCUAUCCCAUCCUGGCUUUGAUGAAGUAAGCUGCUGUGAUGCAAACUGCUCUCUGGAGAGGUGACAAACCUAAGGCAGGCUUUGGACAAUACCUAGGAAGAAACUGAGACCCUCAGUCCUACAACCUGCAAAGAACCAAAUUCUGCCAACAACCAAACAACCAUAUGAGCUUGAAAGCAGAUUCUUCCUGAGCUGAGCCUUGACAGAAGAAUACAUCUCAUACCUAAGUCUUGAUUGCAGCCAGAUGAGAGACUCUGAAGCAGAGGAUUCAGCUACUCUGUGCCCAGACUCCUGACUCACAGAAACUGUGAGCUAACAAUGUAUGGUAUUUUAAGCCACCAAGUUUGCGGUAAUUUGUUAUGAGCAGUAGAUAACUAACAUGCUGCUACAAUAAUUUCGAUACUUUUCAUUAAUUUAUGUCUUUGAGAAUCAGUCUACAGACAGAAUACAAAGAAGAAUGGAUAUGAAAAUGCAACAGUAUUUUAAGUCUUUUCAAACUCAGCGUCGUGAAAGUAAGAAAUUGGGGUGUGGAGUGGAUGUGGGAAGUAGAGAAGAAAUGGUAGGUAAUAGUGCUUAUAGGUUCAUUUUAUAAUGUGAGGAGUCAGCUUUAUGUAACAAGGAAUAAAGGCGUAGAUCUAUUAUGUAAAUUUACAAAAGGAAAAAAGUGGGUGAAGUAAAAAUAUUAUGAAUAAAGAAGAUGGGAUACUUUGAGUGAACCAAAGUAGCAUUUCUCAGGGAAGGAAGUUAAUAGAAUGCUACAUGAUAAAGCAAUAUGGUAGAAACCUGUUAGUGAGAUAGCUGGAAGUAACUAGCAGUAGAAACAACGACUAGAGUUGAAAGUAGUUGCCUCUUGUCAUAAGAGAAUGAAGCAAUAGGGUGUUAAUUUUCAUUUUCCCUAUAAACUAGGUCAUUUGAAACCUUAUAUAUAUUUUACUUUAAAAAUUAUAAUGAAAAUAAAUACACAAAAUGUGAAUUAUAUUAUUUAAAUCAUAAAUUAGAAACAAAGAGUAUUUGUUAUUUAUUCCAAAAUAUCAAUUCUGGCUUUCUGGCUCACUGACAUUUUCAGGAUUCUCCCCUGCUUUCUAAAUAUUUUUUUGCCUUAUUUUUCAAUUUUGCUGAUGAUACAAAUAAUACAUGUUCACCUUAAAUAAUUUUAAAAAGUGUAAAGACAUUGUAACUAAUAUAUAAUAUCUGACAUUCUACCAUUGUGGAAUAAUUACCAUUGACAUUUUGGUGAAUAUUUUUUCUUGCUUCUAUUUCUGCACCCUUAAAACAUACUGCUAAGUCUAGUCUCGAACUCCUGGUUUUGACAUCUACCAGCCUUAUUUUUAAUCUCAUUUUCAUUAAUGGGAUUAUAUCAUAAUAUCACUUUUAAUAUUGGAUAGAAUACUCUUCCUCACUUCAUAUUUUCCAUCUCUGCUUGUAUAUUUAUUUUGCAUUUCUAAGAAAUUAUGCAUAUUAAUAGACAGUUGUGUGUUGAUUUCUCUAUUGUUUCAUGAUUGUAUAAUUGAGGUAAUGCAUGCAGAUAGUCGAUCUAAAUUUCUAUUACUGAAUAUAAAAAUUUAUUAGUGAAGCAAAUUAAAUACUAUAUUAAUAUAUAUCUACAUAUAAUUCCAUGUAAAGACAAUUUGUGGCUAAGAAGAAAUUAUUCUAUGCAUAUAUGUAAAUUAAUACACAGGUACACUCACAUACACACCAUCUCCUUGACCUGAAAGACAGCAGUCUCAACCAUCUGAAAGAUUGCAAUCAAUCAGGAGGGAGGCCAUUACGAUUAUCAUCUAUUCCAAUAAAUAUCAUAAAAUUUGUAUACUUUAUUUAGAUCCCAUUAAGUUUCAUUUUAUCUACAUUUAUUUUAGGCACAAUUCUAAUAAACUUGGUUAUAUGAUUUCAAGCAUAUUAAAAGCAAAAUCUUGAAGAUGGUUAUAAUAGAAUACUAUACCCACCAUAUACAACCUAUCAAUUAGCAUAGGAAUUUGACUCUAAUUAAUGUUAGGGCUUAUACUCCUGAAUGAUCUUUGAAAAUCUGAGAGCCCAUUAAAAAGAACUGAUGUUCAAAUGAUGAUCCCAUGUCAUCAAGGAAAGGUUACAUUAUCUUCAGCUUCUUUUGCUUAAAAAGAAAAUCAAUGAAAAGUUUAAAAUGAUUUCAGAAAAAUUUGAAUUCAAAGGACUGGCAUUUAACCAAAGUUCUUGUUGCUUUAAUUUAUAACUAUCUUGUCAUCACCAUCACCAGUAAAAGCAGCAGCCACAGCAGCAUCAUAAUUUUUAUGACCCUUUUAAAGCAUCUAUUUGCAAGGUAUGCUGGAAGCUACUUAACAUUUUAGCUGAAUUAAUCCAACAACAACCUUAGAAAGAUAUUGUUAUGCUUAUGUUCAGAUAAAAAACAGGUUAAAAAAAUGAUAAGAAAUGAUGGAGUUCACUUUGGGAUACACUGAGUUUGAGGUGCCAUAAAGAGACAUUCAGGAGAUUUCAAUAGGCAAGAAAGAAAGAAGGAAAGAAAGAAAGAGAAAGAAAGAAAGAAAGAAAGAAAGAAAGAAAAGAAAGAAAAGAGGUGACUUGCCUAAGUUCUAGGCUUCUGCAGUAAAUUUUUUUUUUAUUUUUUAAUUUCUAAUUUUUGUGGGUACAUAGUAGGUGUACAUAUUUAUGGGGUGUAUGAGAUGUUUUGAUACAGGCAUGCAAUGUAAAAUAAUAAACUUAUGGAAAAUGGAGUAACCAUCCCCUCAAGCACAUAUCCUUUGUGUAACAAACAAUCCAAUUAUACUCUGUUAUUUUAAAAUGUACAAUUACGUUUUAUUGAUUAUAGUCACCUUGUUGUGCUAUCAGACACUAGGCCUUAUUCAUUCAUUCUAACUAUUUUUUGUACCCAUUAUCCCUCCCCAACUCCCCUUCACUACCUUUCCCAGUCAUUGGUAACCAUCUUUCUACUCCCUAUCUCCAUAGGUUCAAUUGUUUUGAUUUUUAGAUCCCACAAAUAAAUGAAACCAUGUGAUGUUUGUCUUUGUGCCUGGAUUAUUUCACUUAACAUAAUAAACUCCAGUUUCAUCUGUGUUGUUGCAAAUACAUGGAUCUCAUUCUUGUUUAUGGCUGAAUAGUACUCCAUUGUGUGUAAGCACCACAUUUCCUUUAUCCUGCAGUUAAUUUGAAUGUAUGUUUACUUUCUGAGCCUAUGCUUGCUC